rnacentral:lncRNA from 1 species
UUUCCAGCAUGUAAAACGUGCAAUAUACUAAGGCAUGUGUUUAGGGGGACGAGCUUGGAAUUGGCCCUUAUGCUACUCAGUUCAGGCGCUAAUGGAUGGCGAAGGGACAAAGAUGAUCACUUUUAAAUAACUUACUCUUUCUAAGGCUUCAUCAUUUGUCAGAAGCUUGUACAUUGUGGAUGUUCUGGGGAAUGCGGUUCAAUGCCAAAAAAAACUACAUCCUAAGCAUCAGAAACAAAAGCCAUAAAAUCUUCAGUUUAAAUGGACACAUACUACAACAACUCAAGCAUAACCCGUAACUAGGCCUACACAUUUCGGAAGACCUCAAAUGGACCACCCACAUAUUAAACGUGGCAAAGAAAGCAAAUUCAACACUAGGCUCUCAAAGAAGAAACUUGAAAUACUGCCCACAAUAUUACAAAAAAACUGCUUGUUGAUCAACGAUGGAAUAUGGAUCCAUAGUAUGGGGCCCCUACAUUGUAACAAACAUAAAUUAGCUAGAAAGAAGGAAUACAACGUCAAGCGAGGCAAGAUUUAUCACCAUAGAUUACAAGUCAAGAGAGGACGGGUGGUUUCCAAUAUGCUAGCCGAACUGAAACUACAAAACCUCCGGACAAUUGCAAGACGAACAAGCUAGAAGUUGAUAUUUAUGUACAAAGUGGUUUAGGGGCUGAUUCCCGCUAUUGAACCAGACGAAUUUCCCCAAAAAGCACAUCCUAAGUGAAAAAUAACUACCAAGAAGUCGAAGAAUACCACGCAACAAAUAUUUUGAAAAAGCAAAUAAAGAAUCACUCUAAGUAUUUUGACAUUCCACUAAGCAAAACACC